GCAGAGGCCCCGCCGUCCCUCCCCUUCGCGGUCUCAGCACUCAGUGCCGCGCUCGGCGGCCCCGGUACCUCCUGGCCUCCUGUCGCCGUGUCUCCGUGCCUCUGCUUUAUUGACCCCAGCUCGCUGAAACAGAGAGUGAAUUAUAAUGACACACUAUCAAAUGUUGCACCAUCCUUGGAUUCCUGAGAUAACCCUACUCAAUUGUGACUGAGGAAGUUAUAUAAGCAUGGGGAGACCUGGAGGAGAUUACGGCAGGGGAGAGGCGCUGGGGAUCAGCUCGGAGGACUAAUACUACCCACUCUGCACAGACUGUGUGUUUUAAGUGCUUUACUCUCAGGCCCAGAGGUAAUUCUGUUUAUCCUCAUAAUAUGAUGUAAUAUAAAUAAUUCAUCAAGGAGGUGCUAUUAUUACACCCAUUUUAUAAACAAGAAAACGGACAGUAGACAGAAUAAGUCACAUGGCUGUUAAAGGAUGGAACCAGGGUUUGGGCCCAGGUCUGUAUAACUACAAAGCCCAAGCUUUUAAAUGAGCACAUGUGCAACUCAAAUGCUAAAAAUCUCAAACAUUACAUUAUUCUCUGGUGGAAGUGGAGAGAAUGGAUUUGGAAGUUGUCAGAAAGGUAGAACAGCCUUGGCCUCUGACUUAGGUGUGAAUUUUUUAAAUACAGGAAAUAACAGAUUAAAAAAUUUGUGACAGUACAAUACAUAAAGAGCUUCAAGUAUUUUAAUUUAUAAGUUUGGUGUG